rnacentral:rRNA from 1 species
UACGUAGGGUCCGAGCGUUGUCCGGAGUUACUGGGCGUAAAGCGCGCGCAGGCGGUCCCGCGCGCCCGGCGUGAAAGCCCCCGGCUCAACCGGGGGAGGGUCGUCGGGGACGGCGGGACUUGAGGGCGGUAGGGGCCGGUGGAAUCCCUGGUGUAGUGGUGAAAUGCGUAGAGAUCAGGGGGAACACCCGUGGCGAAGGCGGCCGGCUGGGCCGACCCUGACGCUGAGGCGCGAAGGCGUGGGGAGCGAACGGG